rnacentral:lncRNA from 1 species
CAAGGCUGGGGAGGGAAACACGUUGGAGCUAGAAAAGUGAGAGUGCCUGCUGGAACCACACGGACGAUCCUGCCAGAACCAGAAAGCUGAGCUGUCUUCCUGAACUGACCCGUGAUCUUUUAAGCUUUCUGUGUUUCUACCUGGGAGUGUGCCCUCUCUGCUUUCUGAGUCACGUUUCUGAGUUGAGUUUUGGUAAGUAAUGAUUAAAAACUACUUGUUAUGAGAAUUGUAGCUUCUUGAUUAAAGGAACAACUGAAAAUAAAUUCCCUCGGCAGUACUGUGGCCGCCA